UGAACGCUGGUGGCAGGCCUAACACAUGCAAGUCGAGCGGCAGCGGGUCCUUCGGGAUGCCGGCGAGCGGCGGACGGGUGAGGAAUGCGUCGGAAUCUGCCUUUUUGUGGGGGAUAACGUAGGGAAACUUACGCUAAUACCGCAUACGACCUACGGGUGAAAGUGGGGGACCGCAAGGCCUCACGCAGAAAGAUGAGCCGACGUCGGAUUAGCUAGUUGGCGGGGUAAAGGCCCACCAAGGCGACGAUCCGUAGCUGGUCUGAGAGGAUGAUCAGCCACACUGGAACUGAGACACGGUCCAGACUCCUACGGGAGGCAGCAGUGGGGAAUAUUGGACAAUGGGCGCAAGCCUGAUCCAGCCAUGCCGCGUGUGUGAAGAAGGCCUUCGGGUUGUAAAGCACUUUUGUCCGGAAAGAAAUCCUGUCGGCUAAUACCCGGCGGGGAUGACGGUACCGGAAGAAUAAGCACCGGCUAACUUCGUG
rnacentral:rRNA from 1 species